rnacentral:Y_RNA from 1 species
GGCUGGUCUGAAGGUAGUGAGUUAUCUCACUCGAUUGUUCAGUCAGUUACAGAUUGAACUCCUUGUUCUACUACUUUCCACCUUCCUCACUGCUGUAUUUGACUAUUCUUAA